CGCGGGCCGCUCCCCCCCGGACCCGGGACCCGCGGGCGCCCCCCGGCGGGCCCUCACCUCAGGUUCUCUGGGCCAGGUGUACAGAGCACAGAGGAAGACACAGAGACUCCAGGAUGGGCAAAGCCCAUUGAGGUCCUUUGCAUUUCCACAUGAAUUUUAGAAUGCUGCAAUAUGGAUUGGGAUUGAAUUGAAAUAGAUUGAUUUGAAGAGGAAUUGAUGUCUUAUCAACAGAGAAAGCUACUAUGAUAUUGGGAAGAAGCAUGAAGAUCAAGAACCAGAAGAUUCCACUAAAGUAGACGUUUCCAGUGUAUGUGACCUUCAAACCAUCAGGAAAGUGCUAUUAGUAGCUGCAAACAAACCCUAGAUAUCAGUGACUUUCCACAGAUGUCAAUUUCUCACUCACAGGAAGUCCAAUAAAGGUGGUUCUGAUGUGGACAACAUUCAUCAUGGUCUUUCAGGCCAUGAGGAACCAAUGAAGAUGUUGAGCGUGAAAAUAAUGUAUGCAGGAAUGGUUUUGUAAAAUUCAUGUGCAAGAUAGAUUGAAGAAGAAAAGUUCCAACAGCCAUUUUCAGACUUGGAACACAUGUAACUCUCCC